rnacentral:rRNA from 1 species
AGCGAACGCUGGCGGUAGGCCUAACACAUGCAAGUCGAACGGCAGCACAGUAAGAGCUUGCUCUUAUGGGUGGCGAGUGGCGGACGGGUGAGGAAUAUAUCGGAAUCUACUUUUUCGUGGGGGAUAACGUAGGGAAACUUACGCUAAUACCGCAUACGACCUACGGGUGAAAGCAGGGGAUCUUCGGACCUUGCGCGAAUGAAUGAGCCGAUGUCGGAGUAGCUAGUUGGCGGGGUAAAAGCCCACCAAGGGGGCGAUCGGUAGCUGGUGAGAGGGGGGGUAGCGCGACUGAGAAGGUGAGACGCGGCCCAGGGUCCUACAGGAGGCAGCGGUGGGUAAGAUAGGACACUGGGGGGAAGCCUGAACCAUCCAUGGCACGUGGAUGAAGAAGGCCUUCGGGUUGUAAAGCCCUUUUGUUGGGAAAGAAAGGCAGCAGGUUAAAACCCGGCUGUUCUAACGGAACCCAAAGAGUAGGCACCGGCAAACUUCGG